CGGUGAACCAACCCAUCUCAUUUCAUAUAAACACCUCCUCCGCCCACUUUCUCCGUCGCAUCGACCUUCCCUCCGCGCGCCUCUUCUUUUCCUCCGCUCCCCGUUGAACCCACUGAAAACCCUAAUCUGCAUCCGCCGUCGGGGAACUCGACCUGUGUCCCUUUCGUUUGAUGCGGUGCGCGCGAUGGAUGUGGGUGGGGCGCGCAUCCACUCGUCGCAUAGUCAAGGAGGUUUUCCGAGACUUCAGAGGCAGAAGAGCCGGCUUGAGCAUGGCGCUGACAACUGAUUUCCAGAGGUUCGACCAGCAGUGCGUUACGGGCGAGUUGAGCCCUCCAUUUCUUUGCCUGCUUCUCUUUCAUUAGGGUUGCGCGUUUUUGUGCAUACCUCUUCGUUUCUAUCAUGUUCCACAUAACACGAUACAUUAAGAUUUCAGGUCGGGUAUAAAUCUCAACGUGUGUCCUGUGGAUAAUAGGAUUCUGGAUUCGAUCCUUUUGGAUAUACGCAUGAUAUAUGACAAUCAGCUACAAUAAGUUAAUUCUGUUAUGUUUUCA